rnacentral:tRNA from 1 species
CCCUGGUUAGCUCAGUUGGUAGAGCGCUCCACCUGUAAUGGAGAGGUCCCGGGUUCGAUAUUCGGACCAGGCG